rnacentral:lncRNA from 1 species
CUCAGCUGAUGUCUCUGAGAAUGAUUCUCUGACCAGAAAUGGUUCUGCUCUGGUUCUUCUAGCUUGGCCUGAGCGGUGAACACACGGAUCUCAAACAUCCUGUCAACGUAACUGCAGUGUCACAGCCAUCAGAUGGAAAUGCACCCCAAAGCAGGGAUUAAAGUACCAUGAGCUUAAAAACUCUGCAAGCUAUAAGAUCUGCCCCAAGGUAAGUGACUAGGAUCACGGAGUAAUAACUCAAAGAUGAGCUCAGAUC